GUUUGGGGGAUGACAGAUAGGAUUGACAGUUCAGGAGAUGACAGAUUGGAUUGACAGUUUGGGGGAUGACAGAUAGGAUUGACAGUUCAGGAGAUGACAGAUUGGAUUGACAGUUUGGGGGAUGACAGAUAGGAUUGACAGUUCAGGAGAUGACAGAUUGGAUUGACAGUUUGGGGGAUGACAGAUAGGAUUGACAGUUCAGGAGAUGACAGAUUGGAUUGACAGUUUGGGGGAUGCCAGAUAGGA